GACGAACGCUGGCGGCGUGCUUAACACAUGCAAGUCGAACGAAGAGCGAUGGAAGCUUGCUUCUAUCAAUCUUAGUGGCGAACGGGUGAGUAACGCGUAAUCAACCUGCCCUUCAGAGGGGGACAACAGUUGGAAACGACUGCUAAUACCGCAUACGAUCUGACCUCGGCAUCGAGGAUAGAUGAAAGGUGGCCUCUAUUUAUAAGCUAUCACUGAAGGAGGGGAUUGCGUCUGAUUAGCUAGUUGGAGGGGUAACGGCCCACCAAGGCGAUGAUCAGUAGCCGGUCUGAGAGGAUGAACGGCCACAUUGGGACUGAGACACGGCCCAGACUCCUACGGGAGGCAGCAGUGGGGAAUCUUCCGCAAUGGACGAAAGUCUGACGGAGCAACGCCGCGUGAGUGAUGACGGCCUUCGGGUUGUAAAGCUCUGUUAAUCGGGACGAAAGGCCUUCUUGCGAAUAGUUAGAAGGAUGACGGUACC
rnacentral:rRNA from 1 species